GACGAACGCUGGCGGCGUGCCUAAUACAUGCAAGUAGAACGCUGAAGGAGGAGCUUGCUUCUCUGGAUGAGUUGCGAACGGGUGAGUAACGCGUAGGUAACCUGCCUGGUAGCGGGGGAUAACUAUUGGAAACGAUAGCUAAUACCGCAUAAUAGUAGAUGUUGCAUGACAUUUGCUUAAAAGGUGCAAUUGCAUCACUACCAGAUGGACCUGCGGUGUAUUAGCUAGUUGGUGGGGUAACGGCUCACCAAGGCGACGAUACAUAGCCGACCUGAGAGGGUGAGCAGCCAGACUGGGAGUGAGACACGGCCCAGACUCCUUCGGGAGGCAGCAGUAGGGAAUCGUCGGCAAGAGACGGAAGUCUGAGCGAGCAACGCCGCGGGAGGGAAGAAGGUUUUCGGAUCGGAAAGCUCGGUUGUAAGGGAAGAACGAGUGUGAGAGUGGAAAGUUCACACUGUGACGGUAUCUUACCAGAAAGGGACGGCUAACUACGUG
rnacentral:rRNA from 1 species